rnacentral:lncRNA from 1 species
AGGUAAUUAAACAGAAGACAAUCGCAUUGUCUAUUUGAUUUCUAAAGUGUUCAUUUUCCAAGUGGAAGACUAUUGCGGUGAUUUGAGUACGCGGGAAAAUUACAAAACUUAAGAGAAACUGUGAGAGAUUUCAAAGGUAACCCCUUUUUGAAGCAACCAUUUGCGCAGUUACCCCGAAACAAGACAAAGGCACGUAUAUAUAUAAUAUAAUAUAUAUAUAUAAUUGCGUGUUCUUUUGCUAAAUUUAUGAGGUGAGUUCUAACUAAACAUAUCCGUGAAUUUACUUUAGUAAGUAGGACGAACCCUUUCUCGGACUAUUGUUUUCCAACAGUUGGAAAAACCGUCGUGUAAUUACUCCUACGCAUGGAAUAUAUACAUAUACAAAUAAACGUAUACAGUGUUGAACAAAA